CACGCCUACGGGGGGCAGCAGUGAGGAAUAUUGGUCAAUGGGCGGGAGCCUGAACCAGCCAAGUCGCGUGAGGGAAGACGGUCCUAUGGAUUGUAAACCUCUUUUGUCGGGGAGCAAAGAGAUCACGUGUGGUCAAAAGCGAGAGUACCCGAAGAAAAAGCAUCGGCUAACUCCGUGCCAGCAGCCGCGGUAAUACGGAGGAUGCGAGCGUUAUCCGGAUUUAUUGGGUUUAAAGGGUGCGUAGGCGGGACGGCAAGUCAGCGGUAAAAAUGCGGAGCUCAACUCCGUCGAGCCGUUGAAACUGC
rnacentral:rRNA from 1 species